AGAUUAAUAGCUUGGUGGUAGAACACAUGCUUAGCAUGCAUGAGGUCUGGGUUCAAUCCUCAGUAUCUC
rnacentral:tRNA from 1 species